CAGCACAGAAAAAUCAGUUCCAUUGCAUCUAAAGCCCAACUUCUUUUCACAAACUCCAGUUUUAUUUAUUCAUUUUUACAGAUUUCAAGAAAUUAAAUGCCCAUGGAAAGUACAACAUUGUGCACACUACUUACAUUAAUCAAAAACGAUAACCCCUCUCCCAAAAAUAAAUAUAAUAAAGCUAGAUGCUAAAGUUAAACAAUAUGUAUGUAUAAAAUCCUGUUUCUUACAACUUUUCCCCGACAUGGUCCUUUGGAGCUGUUUUUUGUAAAAAUCAUUGCUACACGCAUUAAAUGGACCAAGUGCGUGAUGCUCCAAGAUUUUCUCAUGGGGCAUUAAUUCAUAACAUUCCAACGAUUUAUUGUUGGUUUACUAAACCCAAUUUGAAGACGAGUUUUUUGUACGAAUCGAGAAACAUUAAGGAACUGAAAAAUCUAGUUCCUUAAAACACAUGAAACCCUAUAUACUCGGAGCACAGAAGCCCUAAUUCCUUCGAAAACACGUAAACCCUAAAUUCUCCGAACGAGGUGUCGCAGCUCAAGCGCAAGGUCACGAGAGCCAAGUUGGUGGGUUUCAGAGCUCCCAGAGUCGCAAUGCUACUCAAGGGCGAAGCGAGCGACGGGAUUGAGCGACGAAGAAACCCUCGGAAUGGUCAACCGGAAAUUCCACCUCUGGGAGGAGAUUGCAAUGAAGCGGAGAAGAGAAGCUAGCGGAUCAAGAGAGAGAGAGAUGCAUUUCAGGUCGCCGUUUGUUGAUACCAUGUCUCCCGUUCACGUCGAGAUACCUCCGGAAUAGAGAUAAGCUGGCAAUAUGGGGGGAGGAGGGGGUUUUCCGAUACCGUUCCCUCCAGCGGGGUGAAUCUAUUGCAGACCGUGACGGGAAAGCUGCGAGCGCCCCCACUGCAACUACUCCCCCAUGCUUCAUCUUCGCGAAGCCACUCGAGGCAGGGCCGCCCACUAUAAGUAUCCGGCGCGCUGCGAUGAUGCCGCAGCAGCGGUUGCGAGCUGGCUGCUGUCUUGGAUUGGAGUUAACGCCCAGCCUCACGCUCUAUGAUCUCAGUCGGAUUGCGGUGAGAUCCCCGUUGUACGAUUCAUCGUCUUCUAGCCUCAAAUCUAGGGAUCGAUCGCCUCCGAUCCCUCCGCGGCUCGGCACGCGUGGAUGAAUGAACAAAUUGGAUUAAUCCCUCUCUCUGUAGAUUCUGUACAUCUCUCUUUCUCAUCCAGUGUAUUUUCACACAUGGAAUUAGUUUGCAUUUUUUAAUAUCUAUAUAUGCUUGCUUAGAUAUUCCUAUAUUCACAUUUUGGGUUAUAAAUAGACAAUGUUAUGGACGUAUCUUUUUCAGGAC
rnacentral:lncRNA from 1 species